UACGAAGGGUGCAAGCGUUACUCGGAAUUACUGGGCGUAAAGCGUGCGUAGGUGGUUUUUUAAGUCCGUUGUGAAAGCCCUGGGCUCAACCUGGAGACGCCACUCGAUACUGCUAUGGCUAGAGUCCGGUAGGGGACCACGGAAUUCCUGGUGUAGCGGUGAAAUGCGCAGAUAUCAGGAGGAACACCGGUGGCGAAGGCGGGUCUCUGGGCCGAUACUGACGCUGAGGAGCGAAAGCGUGGGGAGCGAACAGG
rnacentral:rRNA from 1 species